rnacentral:rRNA from 1 species
CCUACGGGAGGCAGCAGUGAGGAAUAUUGGUCAAUGGACGAAAGUCUGAACCAGCCAUGCCGCGUGAAGGAUGACGGCCCUACGGGUUGUAAACUUCUUUUGUACAGGAAGAAACCCCCCUACGUGUAGGGGGCUGACGGUACUAUACGAAUAAGCACCGGCUAACUCCGUGCCAGCAGCCGCGGUAAGACGGAGGAUGCAAGUGUUAUCCGGAAUCACUGGGCGUAAAGCGUCUGUAGGUGGUUAAACAAGUCAACUGUUAAAUCUUGAAGCUCAACUUCAAAAUCGCAGUCGAAACUGUUUGACUAGAGUAUAGUAGGGGUAAAGGGAAUUUCCAGUGGAGCGGUGAAAUGCGUAGAUAUUGGAAAGAACACCGAUGGCGAAGGCACUUUACUGGGCUAUUACUGACACUCAGAGACGAAAGCUAGGGUAGCAAAUGGGAUUAGAUACCCCAGUAGUCCUAGCCGUAAACAAUGGAUACUAGAUGUUGAACAGAUCGACCUGUGCAGUAUCAAAGCUAACGUGUUAAGUAUCCCGCCUGGGAAGUAUGCUCGCAAGAGUGAAACUCAAAUGAAUUGACGG